GUGCUCACUUCGGCAGCACAUAUACUAAAAUUGGAACGAUACAGAGAUUAGCAUGGCUCCUGCACAAAGAUGACACGCAAAUUCGUGAAACAUUCCAUAUUUUU
rnacentral:snRNA from 1 species